rnacentral:lncRNA from 1 species
GUAGACGAGGGACGUACUCAAGAGUAAACCUCGCCUACGGAGGAACGUGGGUAGACGAGGGACGUACUCAAGAGUAAACCUCGCCUACGGAGGAACGUGGGUAGACGAGGGACGUACUCAAGAGUAAACCUCGCCUACGGAAGAACGUGGGUAGACGAGGGACGUACUCAAAAAUAGACCCCACCUAUGGAAGAAUAUAGGUAGAUGAGGGGCCACAUUCAGGCUCAGCCGCGGAAGCAGCGAGCAAAAGGAGGAG